GAUGAACGCUGGCGGCGUGCUUAACACAUGCAAGUCGAACGGUGAAGGCGGAGCUUGCUCUGCUGGAUCAGUGGCGAACGGGUGAGUAACACGUGAGCAAUCUGCCCCUGACUCUGGGAUAAGCGCUGGAAACGGCGUCUAAUACUGGAUACGAGCUGCGAAGGCAUCUUCAGCGGCUGGAAAGAACUUCGGUCAGGGAUGAGCUCGCGGCCUAUCAGCUUGUUGGUGAGGUAACGGCUCACCAAGGCGUCGACGGGUAGCCGGCCUGAGAGGGUGACCGGCCACACUGGGACUGAGACACGGCCCAGACUCCUACGGGAGGCAGCAGUGGGGAAUAUUGCACAAUGGGCGAAAGCCUGAUGCAGCAACGCCGCGUGAGGGACGACGGCCUUCGGGUUGUAAACCUCUUUUAGCAGGGAAGAAGCGAAAGUGACGGUACCUGCAGAAAAAGCGCCGGCUAACUACGUG
rnacentral:rRNA from 1 species